UUCUGCUAGUGAGUGUGUGAGACC
rnacentral:piRNA from 1 species